GCCUAAACUGCAUGAACCAAAGCUCCUGGCCUGCAAGAGCAUAAACUAUGUACAGCGAAAUCAUAAUCAAAAUCAUUGUUAAAUUCAUCACUCAUUUGAACUACGUCAUGACUUGAUCCCUCCUCAACCGAGGGUAUGUAGGCAACUUGACACUUCAAAACUUCAAGUACAGUCACAUCACCAACAAAAAAAAACACAAACACUUUGAAGAAUAAAAAGCAAGUUCAGAAUAUGAAUACUUUAUUUCUUUAAAAGGAAUGAUUUGGUUACAAAGCCGUAUUACAAAGGUGAGCAUCACACCAACGUCACCACCGAGGAAAGUUGUGACCAAAAGACACUACACAACAUAAACUUGCUGCAGUCUUUGACACAACCUCACACGGUAAAAGUGACACACUGGAACAAGCUCCAAGCAGCAACGGCAAAGAGCCCACGACAAGCACCAAGGUCAAUGUGCACACCAACGUCACCACCAAGGAAAGUUGUGACCAAAAGACACUACACAGCAUAAACUCGCUGCAUCCUUUAACACAACCUCACACGGUAAAAGUGACACACUGGAACAAGCUCCAAGCAGUAGGACAACAAACAGUCCAACAAGGACGGUGGGCAGUGCAAUGAUGCGCAGCGAAUAAUGCAACGACAGUGGUGCAGCAAGCACGGCAAAGAGGCAGCUACAAAACGGUCCUUCAAAGCACACUACAGUAGCAAAGAAACCAAAAUGCCACGCAACCCCGCAGUGGU
rnacentral:lncRNA from 1 species